rnacentral:rRNA from 1 species
AUUGAACGCUGGCGGCAGGCCUAACACAUGCAAGUCGAACGGUAACAGGAAGAAGCUUGCUUCUUUGCUGACGAGUGGCGGAUGGGUGAGUAAUGUCUGGGAAACUGCCUGAUGGAGGGGGAUAACUACUGGAAACGGUAGCUAAUACCGCAUAACGUCGCAAGACCAAAAAGGGGGACCUUCGGGCCUCUUGCCAUCGGAUGUGCCCAGAUGGGAUUAGCUAGUAGGUGGGGUAACGGCUCACCUAGGCGACGAUCCCUAGCUGGUCUGAGAGGAUGACCAGCCACACUGGAACUGAGACACGGUCCAGACUCCUACGGGAGGCAGCAGUGGGGAAUAUUGCACAAUGGGCGCAAGCCUGAUGCAGCCAUGCCGCGUGUAUGAAGAAGGCCUUCGGGUUGUAAAGUACUUUCAGCGGGGAGGAAGGGAGUAAAGUUAAUACCUUUGCUCAUUGACGUUACCCGCAGAAGAAGCACCGGCUAACUCCGUG